GGGCUCCAAUUUCAAUUUUUUGUAAAAUUUCGGAGGCUCCUUUUUGCAAUUCGAGGGCUCUUUUCAAAUGACACUUUUUUGUAUUUUGAGGAAUACCUGUUCACUUAUUCCUUAUUGUUAAUAUCGUAUGAUUUUUGAAAAAAAUAUUUUUUUAAAGAAUAAUUUUAAAGUUAUUUUUUUCAUGCUUAGAAUAUUGGAUGUGGGUGUGUUUGUGUGGGUGUGACUGUGAGUUGGACUUGGUUAUACAUGCAAGUCAAAGAAAUGAAUUCAAUAUCUAAUUUCUACUCCGUCUAUUCCAGUAUAAUUACUCGGCCAUGUAGUAACUAAUAUGUACUGUAGGCCCACAUACCCUAACUUUUCCUGAAGUUCUUUGAAAACACAGAUCUCCAUGAAAAUUGCAUUUCUCUAUGGGGAAGUCUAAAUUCGGUGAGAAUGUGUUCAUUAAUAACUUAAAUAUACAUGACAAUGAAGAAAUCAUCAAACUUUAUUGGCAGUUUUAAAUAAUAUACCUGAAAUGUAAACUCUAGAUAUCUGAAACAGAAAAUCACCAUCAUUGAGGCCUUUACAGAGCGAAUUGUCCCCCAGAGCUCAGACUGGCUAGCUAGUACAUGAGCCAAUGCGUGCGUGCGUGAGCCUCCCGCCGGCCUUGUAAAAUAUCUAUGGAACUUUGUUUGAUAAUUUGUCUGAUAUUUACCUCAUCCCCUAGAACAAUAAAACAAAUGAUUUUUAAGUUAUGAUUCACAAAUAAGGUAAGUUAUUUUGGAUGUUAAUACAUGUAGGCUCCGUUUAGACAAGCAAAGCCGAAUGACAACUCACCAAUGCCAUGCGUGGUUACUGGACUCUGGGAUUUAUCUCCUGUGUAAUUUAAAUUAUUAUUUUAUCACAGGAUUGUGAUAUCUGUAGCGGGAAUAUGUGCAUUAGAAAUUGCACAUGGUAGUAGUCAUAAUGGACCCCUAUAGUUGCAACUGUUUCCGGACUGUUGCGUUGAUUUUUUUUCCAUACCAUGUGUAUGGAAAAACUUGGUACAGAAAAAAAGACGCAACUUGGGAAUAUGAAACUGUGUCCUAGCUAUUUUCAAGGCUUGUUCAUGACUGCGGAGUUUUGAUGAUUUUUAAAUGGCAAACGGAGCUCGAGCAUAUGGCGCUAGGGGCCCGCUGAGUUAUCGCUCGGCAAUAAUUUUGGGGGCGACUUCCAGAUUUUAUGUCACCCCCGAAAGCAUGAUUUUUGGUGAUUUCGAGGGCGACUUUAGGCAUUUCCGGGGAGAAUUCGCCCGCCGCCCCCGUGUAUUUUUUUCCCUGCCCUCCACGAAAAACAGUUAUUUUCGUGCGUGACAAAUUACAUCAUGAUUCUGGACGCGCGCCGUACGGGUAAAGAUAUUCUUGAUUAUAAUGAUGUAAGAAAGAAUUGGUGUGAAUUUUUCUUCAUAUAUAAUUAUGAGUAAAUUCUAAUUUUUUUGUUUGCUUUUUUUAUAUCGAAUCUAAGCAGAUGUUGGUAAUAAAUUUGUGUUUGCUAACUAAUUUUUUUUUUUAAAGUUCUGCGUGUUCCAUGGCACUUUCCAAUAUUAUGCUCGUUUGUAUUGUGACGCUCAUUGCAUAAAGUUCUAUCGACGCGCUGUCGAUCGUCGACGGCUCUAAUCACAGUAAACCUCGCGCACGGUACCUUGAGAACUAGCCGUCGACUAUCACCAACAAUACACCACACCUCAACAUUCGAUCGAAGGAGCAGACAAGAUUGAAAUUCGGCAAAUCAGGCCCAUAUUUCCGUCAGAAAAUAUAUUAAUUGUUAAUGCAAAACUAUGAUAUUUUAAGCAUUUUAUCAUUCAUUAGAAUCUAGAGAUAAAUAAGGUAAAACUAAAACUUUGAUUUUUUUUUCGCCUUGUUUUUGCAAUCUUAAUGUAUUGCUCUGUGAAAUUGAACUGCGGAAGUCCUAUGGUAAAAUAUUUUUUUUACGCACUAAUAACAUGCGUGUCCGGAAUCAUGAUAGUGUCCGGUAAUACAAUACGUGACUAUAGUGUGUGUGUAUUUGAGUUUUGUCAGACGUGUAUCAAUCAGAUAUGAUUAUUUACGUCUGGGACCGACCUUUAACGUCACCAUCCGAAAGACGUGACCAAGGCUCGAACCUCGAACCUCUGCAUCAAUUUGUAACUUCCCCACAUAGCUUGGAUUACAGGCGCACACCACAACUAGCCUGGAGACUUAAUUCUGGGGAGUAAAAGUCAUCUACUAUAAAAGUAGAAGAGAGUUUACUUACAUCUGUUGUCGUCGCCAUCUUGACUCCAUUGUUAUUGCAACCUAGUUACGUGACGCGUAUAGAGGGCGGCAAAAUCAUGAGCGGUGCUAGAUUAAAAAGUGCUAAAAUGUCCCGCUAGCACUUCAACUUGCGAGUUGAAGCAAACUCUCUUCUACUUUUAUUAUUUUAUCGCAUUUUAGUGUCAUUUUAUAACCAUAACUAUCAAUUUUUUUGCCAAACGUCGCCAACCAAUAUUUUUACCCAUGAUGUACAGAAGUGUUGCUGUUAAUUUUGUUAUUAACCUCAGAUUCUAAACAUAACUAGCAGUUUGGCGCAUUUUUAUAGUUGCCUUUUUGGUUGGUGCGUGGGAGCCAAUACAUAGCCGUGCCAGGCUUCAUGGGGGAGUAAGCCUACGUAUAGUAGAUGACUUUUACUCCCAGAAGCCUCCAGGCUAGCCACAACGCCCAGUUUGCGAGGUUAGGAUAUGCUAUACGAACCUCGCACAACCAACGUGUUUUUGUAGUGGAUUUUAGAGUUGUCAUUAACAUCGCUUCAUAACAUGAAUGAUGUUAGCCGAAACCCAUUCCGCUACUCACCAGGGCUUUUUCUGGUAGAAAGCGUUCCAUUAUCAAUUUUUAACAUAUUUUUUUAAUUUAAAAAGGACACAAAAAAGAGCAAAAUCACUUACCUCCGCCUGGAAAGUGGCUUCGCACGUCUCUUCCACGGAAAUAAAAGGAAGGUCGUUGGUGGCGCUAAUACAGUUCGCAACCUUAAUUCAGCUUGGUGGUAUUUUUAAAACUAGAUUCAUGAUUCAUUGUAUGCACAAUUCCAAUAAUUGUUUGAUAAAAUAGAGACCCCAAUAAAUGCAAUAACUUUUUUUUUAAACUUUAUUUUUGCUGACGAUAAUACUUUUUGGAAAAUAUUCAAAACGAUGACAAAUUAAACAAAAAAUAUAGAAAAUUCUAUGUACCUUGUCCUUGAACAAAGCCCCGCAAGUGCUACCGUUCGUUUGUCAAUUAACGUUCCACCAAAGUCUUACAGUUUUGCAUCGAUUUACGUGUAAGAUAAUUUCUGUGUCUAGUCUUUCAAUUGUACUUUUGUAGUGUCUUUGAUAUGAAGAUAAAUCGCGCGCCCUCUUUCGCUCAUUAGACGAAAAAUUUGAGAGCUAGAAAGGUAGCUCUCGUAUUUUGUCAACGAGAAGAAAAAUCAACGCUUAAAAGUUAAAAUACUUAAAUGACGCAUUUUGUCUUUUUUGAGGGAUAUUCAUCAAAUUAUGAGGAAUUGACUUCACAUCGUUUCGUAAGUUUCGUAGGACUUCAUUCUAUAAGUCCUCGUAUUAAUUUUUUGUAAAUUAACGUUAUUUGUUGAAUGCGCCGUGCCUUCAAUUAUUCUGUAGUCGGCGGCUGAGAUGUAGUAGGGUGUCUGAAGCCACACUGAAAAGUGUCAGCAUAAAACAGGCUAAUUUAGGGGAAAAUAUGGCACAUUUUUUCAGGGAAGUUCAGGCUACUAGAAAAAUGUGAUCUGAAUUGAUUAUUAACUUGUGUUUGGCAUGUAUGAAAAGAGAAAAUUCAGGGGCAUCUUUUGACAGUAAGGACAAGUUUAUAUGAUCAUUUUAAAUAAGGAUUUAGAGAUAAAUUGUAAACCCUUAUUUUUGUGUGUGUUGAGAUUGCCAUUUCUCCAUACGUUUUCUAUGGGAAAAUGAAAUUUCUGUUUUGCACAAUUUUUUUCACUUUGUCGCAAUUUUUCAUUGUGAUCUGGUUUCCAAAUCUUUAUGAAAAUCAUACCAUCAGAUAGAGCAUAAAAAAUCCUAUUGGACUCUUUAUGGACAAGUUUUUGGCAUUAAUAAUAAAUUUAUAACAGCUCUCGGAAGCUAAAAAUUUGGAUUUGUGUGUGUCCAUUUCUUAACUACACAGUCUAUGGCAGAGAAAUGCUGAAAAUUUACCUAAUUUCAUUCUUCUUUUUUGCAGCCAAUAAUUGGAUUUUUUUCAAAAUUUUUACAUUUCUGUCAGUCUGAAGGUCAUUUCUCUUCAAAUUCACAAAGAAAAUGUGAUAUUUUCUUGAAAUAAGAAAAAUAAUUUUUUUCUCCAGACACCCUAGAUGUAGCCGUGGGUGAGUUAGAUCUACAGUAUACCCAGUUGUUGUGUGUCCGGACAGGUUGUGUGUCCGGACGAUCAAUUUUAUUUUUAGAAAGUAGGCCCUAAUUUGGAAAAAUUUACAAGCGAAGUUUCAUCAAUUUUUAGUUCAAAAUGUUAGGAAAUAUUAGAGAGAACAAAAUUGAAGAUGAUUAUAACUAUUGAAUUAAUAUUUUUAGUGUAAUCCAAAGACAAAAAAGAAGGCUUCAAAAAUAUAAAGUGUCCGGACCCGAUCCCCCAUCCUACACUCCAGACUAAUCUAACCUAACCAGCACAAAACCUAGCGAAUGGGACUGCACUGAAUAUUGCUUACAACAACCCUUAAUUUCGAUUUGUCUCAUGGCAAGAGUCAAUAUAAAUAUACUGCUUUUACAAUAACGCAUGUCUGCAACGUUACAAUAUCCAUGAGAACAGUAUAAUCAAAACAUGUCUCUAAAGAAAAUAUAAAAAACUUUCAUACCCGGAAUUACGUUCCUCCCCUGCGAAUUAGCACUUCUCUGGGGUGUUGCAAGAAAGUUACGUUGCAAUUGAUUGCAAAUCGACUGCAACUUUGCAGCCGAUCCCGAUCGACUGCAACUAGCAAUCAAUCGCCAAUUUGCGUUGCAAGAAAAAGGCUUGCGAUUGAACGCAAGUUGCAGCUGAUUUGCAGCUGUAAACAGGGUCUGCAGCACAAGACUAGCUGAUGAAGCAAAAUAAUCCUUGCAAUAAUCGUGAUUGUGGAAGAGAUUAUGACAAGGAAGUCUGGAAUAAACCGAACCACCAUAACUGUGUCUGCUACCAUGUGUGUUCUUGCAACCAGCUGAUUGAUUCAUUUUAUCAACUCUUGAAUGGUUGAUUAUCAGAACUGAAUUCAGAGCUGCUCCUGUCUGUAGUAAGAUCAUUUAGAGUGGACUUCAGAAUGAGGGCGUUGCUUGUUUAAAAUCUUCACUCCAUGAAGCUCUCCAAAUUCAUCUCAAAUUAGACUGCUUCUGGAAACCAGAUUUGUUCCUUCAAGCAGAGACGCUUGUGGCUUUCCUGACUGGACUUCUAUGGAUUCUUCAUGCCAACCUUAAGGACUGUGGUCUUCUGCAUGAUAGGUCAAUUUCAAACAAGACAUUCUGUGGUGAAACACUUGAUGUAGAUGAUAUGAAAUUUUAUUUCAUAUAACUGAAUCUCAGAAGUAAUUCCUCGGGAGCAAGAAACAUUGAAAAAUAAAAAUAAAAGGUCCAUCAAUAA